rnacentral:rRNA from 1 species
AAGCCGGAGGAAGGUGGGGAUGACGUCAAGUCAUCAUGCCCCUUAUGUCCCUGGGCUGCACACGUGCUACAAUGGCCGGUACAAUGGGCUGCGAUACCGUGAGGUGGAGCGAAUCCCAUAAAACCGGCCCCAGUUCGGAUCGAAGGCUGCAACUCGCCUUCGUGAAGUCGGAGUUGCUAGUAAUCGCGGAUCAGCAUGCCGCGGUCGAAUACGUUCCCGGGCCUU